rnacentral:rRNA from 1 species
UCCUACGGGAGGCAGCAGUGGGGAAUAUUGGACAAUGGGCGGAAGCCUGAUCCAGCAAUUCCGCGUGGGUGAAGAAGGUCUUCGGAUUGUAAAGCCCUUUCGACAGGGACGAUGAUGACGGUACCUGUAGAAGAAGCCCCGGCUAACUUCGUGCCAGCAGCCGCGGUAAUACGAAGGGGGCUAGCGUUGCUCGGAAUUACUGGGCGUAAAGGGCGCGUAGGCGGCGCAUUUAGUCAGGCGUGAAAUUCCUGGGCUCAACCUGGGGACUGCGCUUGAUACGGAUGUGCUAGAGGAUGGAAGAGGCUCGCGGAAUUCCCAGUGUAGAGGUGAAAUUCGUAGAUAUUGGGAAGAACACCGGUGGCGAAGGCGGCGAGCUGGUCCAUUACUGACGCUGAGGCGCGACAGCGUGGGGAGCAAACAGGAUUAGAUACCCUGGUAGUCCACGCCGUAAACGAUGUGCGCUGGAUGUUGGGUGGCCUAGCCACUCAGUGUCGUAGCUAACGCGGUAAGCGC